GCAGUCGAGCGGAAAGGCCCUUCGGGGUACUCGAGCGGCGAACGGGUGAGUAACACGUGAGCAACCUGCCCCUGACUCUGGGAUAAGCCCGGGAAACUGGGUCUAAUACCGGAUAUGACCGCCCCUGGCAUCGGGUGGUGGUGGAAAGUUUUUCGGUUGGGGAUGGGCUCGCGGCCUAUCAGCUUGUUGGUGGGGUAGUGGCCUACCAAGGCGACGACGGGUAGCCGGCCUGAGAGGGCGACCGGCCACACUGGGACUGAGACACGGCCCAGACUCCUACGGGAGGCAGCAGUGGGGAAUAUUGCGCAAUGGGCGGAAGCCUGACGCAGCGACGCCGCGUGGGGGAUGACGGCCUUCGGGUUGUAAACCUCUUUCAGCAGGGACGAAGUUGACGUGUACCUGCAGAAGAAGCGCCGGCUAACUACGUGCCAGCAGCCGCGGUAAUACGUAGGGCGCAAGCGUUGUCCGGAAUUAUUGGGCGUAAAGAGCUCGUAGGUGGCUUGUCGCGUCGGAUGUGAAAGCCCGCAGCUUAACUGCGGGUCUGCAUUUGAUACGGGCAGGCUAGAGGUAGGUAGGGGAGAACGGAAUUCCUGGUGUAGCGGUGAAAUGCGCAGAUAUCAGGAGGAACACCGGUGGCGAA
rnacentral:rRNA from 1 species